AGAGAGACCCAGACAGACUCUCCCAUCAGAGGUUGUGCUGGUUCUCCUCCCCUCUCGGCCGUGACUCUCUCUUCUCCUCCUCCCAGACUUGUCCAGAUCGCUCCUUCUCUCUUUUACAUUCCUGGGUUUGGGACUGCUACUUUCAUCUCUUCGUGUAGCAAUGGCUCAGAGCUGCAGCUCGUUCAAGCCCCUGUUUUCGGCUUCUCAAGACCUCCCACCUACAUACUGAUGUCUUCUCCCUCGCUGUCUCCUAGAACCCUCGACGUCCUACCUCUCUCUCCAGGUGAGUAGUGACCAACAUCAACACCUCAAUUUGAC